rnacentral:misc_RNA from 1 species
GAUGAAGAACGUAGCGAAAUGCGAUAAGUAAUGCGAAUUGCAGAAUUCAGUGAAUCAUCGAAUCUUUGAACGCACAUUGCGCCCCUUGGUAUUCCAUGGGGCAUGCCUGUUCGAGCGUCAUUUGUACCUUCAAGCCUUGCUUGGUGUUGGGUGUUUGUCUCGCCUCUGCGCGCAGACUCGCCUCAAAACAAUUGGCAGCCGGCGUAUUGAUUUCGGAGCGCAGUACAUCUCGCGCUUUGCACUCAGAACGACGACGUCCAAAAGUACAUUUUUACACUCUUGACCUCGGAUCAGGUAGGGAUACCCGCUGAACUUAAGCAUAUCAAUAAGCGGAGGA